rnacentral:tRNA from 1 species
GAGACAUAGCUCAGUGGUUAAGAGCACUGGCUGCUCUUCUAGAGGAUCGGGGUUCGAUUCCCAGUAUCUACA